UACGUAGGGUGCGAGCGUUAAUCGGAAUUACUGGGCGUAAAGCGUGCGCAGGCGGUUUUGUAAGCCAGAUGUGAAAUCCCCGGGCUUAACCUGGGAAUGGCAUUUGGGACUGCAAGGCUGGAGUGCGGCAGAGGAGACUGGAAUCCCUGGUGUAGCAGUGAAAUGCGUAGAUAUCAGGAGGAACACCGGUGGCGAAGGCGGGUCUCUGGGCAGUGAACUGACGCUGAGGAGCGAAAGCGUGGGGAGCGAACAG
rnacentral:rRNA from 1 species